CAGCGGACGGAGCCGGGUCCCCCGGGUCCCCGGGGCCGAGCACAGGUCCCAAGUGCUCAGCGGCCGAGCGACGGGGCUCCACGGGAGGGACACCCGUGAGCGCAGCGGGGGCGGGAGCGGCGGGGUGAGGGCCCACGCGGAAGCGCUCGCCCGCGGGGGGCGUGACCCCAGGCCCCCAGCCCGCGCGCUCCGGACCCUCGCUCUCCCGCCGUGGAUGCCCGCGGCCGCCGCGAAGCCUCAGUAUCCAGGAAGAGCGAGGCGCGCCGGGAAGGGCGGGCGCAAACUGCAACUCCCAGGAGGCUUUGCGGAGGCGGGCGCUUGCCUCCGGCCAAUAGGGACGAAGGGGCGGGGCCACGGAGGGCGCGCCGCGGGCUGAUUGGCUGGGGGCGCGGGGGCAGGGCCACGGAGGGCGCGCUUAGGGCGGACCGGCCGGGGGCUCCGAGGGCUCCGGAGGGCGCGUGUCGGGGCCGCGGUCAUGGAGGCAACUGGCGGCGGCUUCCGGAAGGUGGCGCCAGGCUCUCACGGUCGCUGCCUGGAGGGCGAAGCUGCGUUCCAGUGGUCCCAGUGACCGGGUGGCAAGUUCUUACCCCCCUGAGCCUGGGCCCGUGGCGUCCACGCCCUCUCCUGCCCCUCUGCUCUGCUCCUGGGCUUUCCCGAGCUGCACCGGGCUGA
rnacentral:lncRNA from 12 species